rnacentral:rRNA from 1 species
GUAGGGAAUAUUGGGCAAUGGUCGGAAGACUGACCCAGCCAUGUCGCGUGCAGGAAGACGGCCCUCUGGGUUGUAAACUGCUUUUAUCUGGGAAGAAAAAGGCCAUGCGUGGCAAAUUGCCGGUACCAGAUGAAUAAGCACCGGCUAACUCCGUGCCAGCAGCCGCGGUAAUACGGAGGGUGCGAGCGUUGUCCGGAUUUAUUGGGUGUAAAGGGUGCGUAGGCGGCUGAUUAAGUCAGCGGUGAAAGACUUCGGCUUAACCGGAGCAGUGCCGUUGAUACUGGUUGGCUUGAGUGUCGGAGGGGUACAUGGAAUUGAUGGUGUAGCGGUGAAAUGCAUAGAUACCAUCAGGAACACCGAUAGCGAAGGCAUUGUACUGGCCGACAACUGACGCUGAUGCACGAAAGUGUGGGGAUCGAACAGGAUUAGAAACCCGGGUAGUCC